AUGCCAAACGUGAUUAUCUUUGGUAGCAUUCUACAAUACAAGAUUUAUCUUUUCAAGAUUCUUACGAGCCUGAAAUUACCAGGUAUCGACAAGCUUCUGACCUCAACUAUUGGGAAAUUGACAAACAUUCUUUGGCAUGACUGUCCAAUAGGGCAGUUUGAGAGGCAGAAAUUGCUAAACCAGAAGGGUUAUGUUGUGUGGAUAGCGGGGUUAAGUGGUUCAGGCAAAAGCACACUAGCAUGCACACUGGGUCACGAGCUGCACUCCAGAGGUCAUACCUACAUUCUAGACGGUGACAAUCUGAGGCAUGGGUUGAACCGAGACCUUUGUUUCAAAGCAAAGGACCUUGCUAAAAAUAUACGCAGAGUAGGAGAAGUAGCAAAACUGUUUGCAGAUGCAGGUUUGAUCUGCAUUGCUAGCUUGAUAUCACCCUAUAGAAGUGAACGAAGCGCUUGUCGUAAAUUACUGAACAAUUCUACAUUCAUUGAGGUGUUUUUGAAUGUCCCACUUGAAGUAUGUGAAGCUAGGGAUCCAAAAGGCUUGUACAAGCUUACCCGUGCUAGAAAAAUUAAAGGGUUCACUGGAAUUGAUGAUCCUUAUGAACCACCUUCCGAUUGUGAGAUAGUGAUACAGUGCAAAGCUAGUGACUGCGCCACGCCUAAAUCGAUGGCUGAUCAAGUUGUGUCAUAUCUCAAAGCAAAUGGGUUCUUACAGGAUUAG
rnacentral:rRNA from 1 species